GACGAACGCUGGCGGCGUGCUUAACACAUGCAAGUCGAACGGAAAGGCCCUGCUUGCAGGGUACUCGAGUGGCGAACGGGUGAGUAACACGUGGGUGAUCUGCCCUGCACUUCGGGAUAAGCUUGGGAAACUGGGUCUAAUACCGGAUAGGAGCCAUCUUUAGUGUGGUGGUUGGAAAGUUUUUUCGGUGUAGGAUGAGCUCGCGGCCUAUCAGCUUGUUGGUGGGGUAAUGGCCUACCAAGGCGGCGACGGGUAGCCGGCCUGAGAGGGUGUACGGCCACAUUGGGACUGAGAUACGGCCCAGACUCCUACGGGAGGCAGCAGUGGGGAAUAUUGCACAAUGGGCGCAAGCCUGAUGCAGCGACGCCGCGUGGGGGAUGAAGGCCUUCGGGUUGUAAACUCCUGUCGCUAGGGACGAAGCUUUUUUGUGACGGUACCUAGAUAAGAAGCACCGGCUAACUACGUG
rnacentral:rRNA from 1 species